rnacentral:rRNA from 1 species
UACGGAGGGUGCGAGCGUUGUCCGGAAUCACUGGGCGUAAAGGGCGCGUAGGCGGCCUGAUAAGUAGGGGGUGAAAUCCUGCGGCUUAACCGCAGGGCUGCCUUCUAAACUGUCAGGCUUGAGCACAGUAGAGGCAGGUGGAAUUCCCGGUGUAGCGGUGGAAUGCGUAGAGAUCGGGAAGAACAUCAGUGGCGAAGGCGGCCUGCUGGGCUGUUGCUGACGCUGAGGAGCGGAAGCGUGGGGAGCAAACAGG